rnacentral:rRNA from 1 species
UGGGGAAUUUUGGACAAUGGACGCAAGUCUGAUCCAGCCAUGCCGCGUGCGGGAAGAAGGCCUUCGGGUUGUAAACCGCUUUUGUCAGGGAAGAAACGAGUUUCUCUAAUACAGAAGGCUAAUGACGGUACCGUAAGAAUAAGCACCGGCUAACUACGUGCCAGCAGCCGCGGUAAUACGUAGGGUGCGAGCGUUAAUCGGAAUUACUGGGCGUAAAGCGUGCGCAGGCGGUUUUGUAAGACAGAGGUGAAAUCCCCGGGCUCAACCUGGGAAUUGCCUUUGUGACUGAAAGGCUUGAGUGCGGCAGAGGGGGAUGGAAUUCCGCGUGUAGCAGUGAAAUGCGUAGAUAUGCGGAGGAACACCGAUGGCGAAGGCAAUCCCCUGGGCCUGCACUGACGCUCAUGCACGAAAGCGUGGGGAGCAAACA